AGCUACUGAGUGAGGCUGCAGGGGAAGGCUGGCAGUGGAGAUGGGCAUGAAAAACAAACUGGGCGCACAGGUGUGAGCUGGGCAAGGCGCACAGCUGGGGGCACUCAGCCCAUAAUGAGCUGCUGCAAAGCUUGGUAGGGCUUUUGGGAUGGAGAGGGAGGUGUGCUUGGUGGGAGUGCUCAGUUUGCUUCAGCUUAUUGCUGCUUCUAGGAGGGCUUCUCCUUUCUGUCUCUGGGCAGGCUCUGCUCUGAUGCAGCAGUGGAUGGGGCAGCCAGGAUGGUGUGGGGCAGGAUCCAGUGCUACAACACAAGAUCCUUUCCUCAAAGCAAGAGCUCUCCUCGUGUGCAGAAAGGGACCCACUUCAUCUGCUCACCGUGCAGUCAGGACACCAUGGGGUGUGGGAUGGACCCAUCCUGACCACCUGCAGCUGCUGGAGGAGGACAGAAACCACUGCGCCUGAUUGGCCCCGUGCACGCUGGGAACCACGGGAGGACGCAUGGCCUGCUGCCCAUCUGAAAUCCCGAACCGACUUCUUCUUUUCUUUCCCCACAAUAGAAGACAAAAAAACUCAAUUUUCAAGAAGUGCAUCAAGCCCUUAAUUGGGAUUUUAAUUCCUAAAUGGCAGUGGGUACAGCACAGCCUGGCUCCCCAGCUAAUGCAUCCGUGUUAUUAGAGAGCAGAUACCCUGUGAAUGGAGGAGGCCGCAGCAUUUGCAUAGCAAUGAGUGCUCUGGCAGCACGGGAACCGAGGUUGAUUUUCUUUUGCAGCUAAAAGCAGACCUGAGUGGUACUUAUUAAUUUGAGUCCACCUCUGAAUACACUUAACGAUUCAAGUCCAAUUAGUUUUCAGAGUGCCCAGGUAGGAAGUAAUCAUUAAAAACAUGUAAAUUAAGUUACUGGGGAGCUUAAUAGAUUAGUCAUUGACUUUGUAGCUUAUGUUGGCUCUUAACCUUCAGCUGAAAUUAAUCACCGACCAUUUCUCUGAACGGGUGCAGAAGGUCAGGCCCAGGGGCAUGGCACUGCAUGGACGGGAGCAGUUCUGGGGGGGCAGGAGGGGGUGGGGAACCUCCCUGCCAUGUCCCCCAGUGCCCCCUCCUCAGACACAGGCUGCAGACACUUCAGCUGUGGGCAGAGAGGAGCUGAGCUGGGGGCUGUCUGCCUGGGGGGCUUUGUCCCCAUAGCGUUUUGCUCUUCUGCAGCAUUGCAGAAGCAUUGCAGUCCAUUCAGUGGUCAUUACUGCGUUAACUUCUGCGCCGCGACGUCUAUUAUGAACGAGUACGAUGGGGAUUAAUCACUGAUAACUGCAAGCCUCGGUGCUUUCCCACCAACCUCUCUUUUGCUGGGCUGUUUUUCCCUCUGUGUAUCGCUACAUGAAGGGAAAACAUGUGCUAUUAUCAGUAAUAGCAUGCUCCCCAUCCCGGCCAGCUGAAUAAAUGAACCUGUUACAGCUGGAAUUAAUAAGAG
rnacentral:lncRNA from 1 species